CACUGGUGCCUGCUCCCACACCCACAGUAUUCCAAACGCCCAAGUAAUUCCAAGCAGGCACAGUAGGACUGAAGCUCCUCGAACCGAAGAUCUACAUAAAAUAUACUGAUUAGCAAACUAUAAUUAAAAAUAAAUGAAAAACGCAAACUGGGCCCACAAAGCUCCAGAUAAAGCCGGAGUCGACACGAAGCCAGCAAGCGUGCUCUGUACCAUAUCCUGACGGAUCGACAGCAGCUGAAACAGCGACGAUCACUGCUGGAAUACCUGGGGAGAAAUAACUGGAUUAUUGCUCUGAUAAUAGAAUACGUGAUAUGGGUUGAAAUGUUGCUUGGUAUAGUUAUGUUAUACGAGCCUAUUUGCGUUGUUUUAAUCGAUGCACUUUUUAUGUUUUAUGUGGAUUAAGUCCUGUGACGAGUGAACCAAAUCUAACUUUGGUUGAUAUUAUCAGUGACUAAUGUAGUGUAAAAACCUCAGUUAGGCCUGUCGUUUUUUUUAAAUUUUGCUGG